GUAAAAUAUUAAGGGCUAGAUAGAAUGUUAAGCCCAGGUAGCAGUUAUCUGGCUAGCCUGCCAUUUAUAAGGAAACUUUCUUAUAUGUUUCUGCUGUUAGAAAGUAAACUUUCUAAGGUCAAGAUUGAUUACAUAUUCUGUUAUGUUCUGUGUCCUUGGAAAUCAAUCUCAAUAGAAGUCAGAACUGUUUUGUGUAGUUACCCACAAUAAGCUUGGACUCAAACCAACCACCCAAUACUUUCCUUUACCCAUGUAUAAGCUUUUAUGGUGUUUGCCCAUAUAAGCUGCCCUGGGAUGGCUUCAACAUAAAAGAGACACUUGCACCAAUAUAAGAAACUAUUUGGAAUAUGACAUGCAUUUUGAGUAGUGUCAAGUAAAGUUUAAGCUCCCAAGACAGCCCUGGAAACUGACAUCCUAACUUGGCAGGAACAGACUGACAUCCUAGUUGGCAAGUUAAGACAUGAAUAUUAGAUAAGUCCUAUCCUGGUAGACAAGUCAAAACAUGAAUAUUAGACAAGGCAAGUCCCCUGUUACAGUUGAAUACCCCAACCAUUGGGAGCAGCCUAAGUGUACAACAAAGACAUAUUCCUAAGGAAAUCUCCUAUCCCUAAAUCCUGGUUGGUGAAAUAACUUGACACAGAUGUUUAUGGAUUUUGAGCUUAAAAUCCCUGUAGGAUCUUAACUUGGGGUCAUGGGCAGUUGCUGAAUCUUGACCAUGGCCCUGGUCAACCAAUCCUGGGUUGUAUAAACUAUCCUUGUCUGACUGAGAUCAGUGGUUUGUGAGGCAAUUCCUAGAACCCAAUACCAACGAACUAAACUGCAAAAAUUCCAACCCCUUUCUCACAGCACUGAGUUACUGAGAGCACUGUCUAGACAGAAGGCAGGUGAGAUGAGCUUAGGACACCUCUUCUGAAAGCAGGCACUCACAGCUGACUUGGCUAACAGGCCACACACCAUCAAAACAGAAGCAAGAACAAAGAAUGCCUCCUUGCAACAUCAUGUGAAAGAAGGCAAUGAGUACUGCAGGCAUGGGCCUACAGCAACAGUCAGCUGUCACCUAAGUGGACUUCCCUAUCUGGUGAACUAAAAAUAUUUCACAAUGGGAGAUGGGAUUUCAUAAAUUACUGAAAAAAUCAAGUUCCAUGUGGAACAUGAACAAAAACUACUCUGGGAUUUGUGCUUUCCAGAGUCAACCCAAAUAUGAAGAUUAUCCACAGUUGGUUUGUCCUGUAGCUAAAAUAUAGAGUCAUCAAAUGCCCACAAUCAUAUGCAGAAGAAGACACAGGGCUAAGAACCUGAGUGCUGAGCACAGCAGUGGGUUAUGCUGGCUUUUUGGCAAGCCCUCCUUUCUGAUUCAGGGCCAUCAGCUUUUGCUAACAGCUUACCAGGAUGCUGGCUGCUCCUUCACUGAAAGUCACAUCUGUUGUGGUGCCGCCUUGGCUGUCAUAAGGUUUUAAUAGCCCUCAUUUCUCAAAUUAACAUGUCUACUGGUAGCUAAUUAAAGACUAAGGUAUUCAAUUUGAAUUUAAUGCAUUAUAAAAAUACAUGCUCUCAUUUAAAAUGAUUAUUCAUUAAUUUUUAUCACACUAUGUUUUAUGACUUUUUGGUAAAUAAUAGGUUUAAAAAGAUAAAAGAAAAGAACCAAUUUAAAAUGAAUAUAGUUACAGAGUAUGGAAAGUUAAAAUCAAUAGUAAUGAGCAGCAGGGUAAAUAGCUAGCAGCAGUAACAGGGUCCAAGGCAGCUGUGCCCUGCUCCAACCUGGUACCAGACCAGGGCACUCACCAGGGUUGCAGUCUGUAAGUAGUGAGCAGAUGGACAGGAGGACUUUAGAGAUGGUCAGGGCCGGACUCCAGUUGUCCUUGAGGAUGUCCAGACAGAUUACACCCUGGCUGUUGAUAUUACAGUGAUAGAUUCUCGUUCGGAAGGUGACCUAGGAGAAAACACAAAGAUGCUGUAACACAGAAAAAUCAGGACCCAGUGCUUCUGGGGAUGGCCCUGGGUAUAGCCAAGGAGUGGAGCACAUGAAUGUCUAUGAGCAGGAAAUGGGCUUUGACUUGUGAAAUGUUUUUAAAUUGGUGGAUUCUAGUUGCUUUACUUUUUACAUUUAGAAUAUCCCAAAGCCAGAGAGCUUGGGAAUAAUACAAAGAUAAAUGUUCUUUAGUACCAUUUUAAAAUAUGAAUGAAGAUAUGUAAAUAUGUUACAUGCCUUUUUUAUAAGCUGCAUGUUAUCACUGUAUUUGUUACUGUUUAAAUGUAUUAUCAUAAUGUACACACCUAUUCCUUAUUAAAUUUUAUAUUUUCAGUGUGCUAUUAAUGUAGUCUUUUGCCUUUGAGAGUAAGAUCAUUAUUCUACUUGUCUUACAUAUAAUUUGGAAAGUUAUGACAUAAAAACACUUCUAGGGAGGAAUGGGACUUAGUGGUUAAGACAAAUUGUUCUUUUUUUUCUCUUUUUUCCUCAAUUUUUUUAUUAUUUAAGUGCAUUUUAUACAUCAAACAUAAUGAUAUUGAGUAUUUUGAGAAUCAAAUAAUACACAAAAAAUCGUUCAACUUUUAUAUUCAUAUCCUUGUCCUAAAAAUACCAUUAAUGAAUAUUUAAUACUAUCCAUAACUGAGGAUCCUAUAUCUAAUGUUGAAUACUAAACUGUUUAAAACAUAUAAAAUAUUCUUUGGGAGUUAAGCACAGUAAAAGAGCAUAAAAUAUUAAAAAUAAAUCAUUAAGAAAUAUAUUCAAAAGUCCUGACUGGAGAGUAUUUAAAAUGCAUUAUAUAUCUGUGUACAGUGUCGAACAAUCAGUUUACUUAAAAAACAUUGUCAGCCUUUCUAGAAGAGAAAUUAUUUUAUCAGUAAGUAUACUUUAAAAUUUUAAAAAUAGCAAAAACUCUAUAAAGUUAAACAUUAAGAAAAUGCGGGCUGGUGAGAUGGCUCAGUGGGUAAGAGCACCCGACUGCUCUUCCGAAGGUCCAGAGUUCAAAUCCCAGCAACCACAUGGUGGCUCACAACCAUCUGUAAUGAGAUCUGACUCCCUCUUCUGGAAUGUCUGAAGACAGCUACAGUGUACUUACAUAUAAUAAAUAAAUAAAUCUUU
rnacentral:lncRNA from 1 species